rnacentral:tRNA from 1 species
GUCAGGAUAGCUCAGUUGGUAGAGCAGAGGACUGAAAAUCCUCGUGUCAUCAGUUCAAA